UGAAACACCGGUCCCCAUGUGAUCACUGAAGUUAAGCAACAUCAGGCAUGGUUAAUACUUAGAUGGGUGACCACUUGGGAAUAUCAGGUACUGUAA